rnacentral:rRNA from 1 species
GACGAACGCUGGCGGCGCGCCUCAUACAUGCAAGUCGAACGAGAAGCUCGGAGCUUGCUCCGGGUGGACAGUGGCGAACGGGUGAGUAACACGUGAGAAACCUGCCCCGAAGACCGGGACAACACCGGGAAACCGGUGCUAAUACCGGAUGUCCUUACCGGACCGCAUGAUCUGGUAAGGAAAUGGAUUCCGCUUCGGGAUGGUCUCGCGGCCUAUCAGCUUGUUGGCGGGGUAACGGCCCACCAAGGCAA